CGUGUGCGGGUCUGUGGUUGCAAGUCGAUGCCAGCCGUAGGCGAAACGACCCACGUAAGGCAACCCUUGGUUGCUGAGCAUGGUGCGGCUUAGGGGUAAGUCCUGCCCGCCGAUCGGCCGACCCUCGGCCCGGGGCGGAGAAGGGGUCAAGCGGGCCACCGCCGCAGUCCCUGUGGGGCUGCGGUGCCGGUGUUGGGUCGUGUACCGCCGCCGGCGGUCCGUGAGCCCCUCGCAGGCGAGUGUGGGGUCAAAGCCAGGUCAGCCGCACGCG
rnacentral:ncRNA from 1 species